UACGGAAGGUGCAAGCGUUAAUCGGAAUCACUGGGCGUAAAGCGCUCGUAGGUUGCUUUGUAAGUCAGUGGUGAAAUGGUGCAGCUCAACUGUAGCAUUGCACUUGAUACUGCAUUGCUUGAGUUCGGGAGAGGGUAGUGGAAUUCCAGGUGUAGGAGUGAAAUCCGUAGAGAUCUGGAGGAACACCGGUGGCGAAGGCGACUACCUGGACCGAUACUGACACUGAGGAGCGAAAGCGUGGGGAGCAAAC
rnacentral:rRNA from 1 species